rnacentral:rRNA from 1 species
AAAAUUAAAAGGACGCGGUAACCUUGACCGUGAUAAUGUAGCAUAAUCAUUCGCCAUUUAAUUGAUGGAUAGUAUGAAUGGUUGAACGAAUAUUCCACUGUCUUAAAAAGAAAUUAACAAAAAUUAGAAUAAUAGUAAAGAUACUAUUUAAAAUUGUAAGACGAAAAGACCCUAUAGAGCUUAACUAUAAUCUUUCUCUUUAAUAUUAACAGAAAGAUUGGUAGUUUAGUUGGGGCGACUGUCUUUUAAAAUUAACAAAGACAAGCAAAAAUUAAUAUUAAAAUUUAUUGUAUAAUCCAUAAAUUUAACAAUUACAAAAGUAGGCUAUAAUGACCCGUUAUUAUUUCAUAAAAAAAAUAACGAUCAAUAAAUAAAAGCUACCUUAGGGAUAACAGGGAUAAUUUUAUUCUAGAGAUCUAAUCGAAAAUAAAGUUUGUCACCUCUAUGUUGAAUUAAGA